rnacentral:rRNA from 1 species
UACGGAGGGUGCGAGCGUUGUCCGGAAUCAUUGGGCGUAAAGGGCGCGUAGGUGGCGGGACAAGCGUGCGGUGAAAGCUCGGGGCUCAACCCCGAGUCGGCCGUGCGAACUGUUUUGCUUGAGCACUGUAGAGGCAGGCGGAAUUCCGGGUGUAGCGGUGGAAUGCGUAGAGAUCCGGAAGAACACCGGUGGCGAAGGCGGCCUGCUGGGCAGUGGCUGACACUGAAGCGCGACAGCGUGGGGAGCAAACCAGG